rnacentral:ncRNA from 1 species
UUUAAGUUUUACUUAUAAGGAUUUAAAAUUUGAUUAUGGUUUUAGGUAGUGUUAUAAUGAUGUUAUCUGUUUUGGAUUCAUUGAAUGGGCAAUAAUUUUUUACCCUGGCAUUUUGUCGUUUGUAUAAAUUUUGUUCCAGAAUAAUCGGCUAGACUUUAUAAACUUGAACUCUAAUUGAUGUUAGUUUAGGGUUUUGUAAAUAUAUCUUGUUUUUUAGGGUGAAAUCGGGAAUUUUUAUUGAUAAUGCUCUAAUCUUUAAGAUUUGGUGAAUGAAUCAGAUUAGUACCUGAUUAAACAAAAAUUAAAAGAGCAGGAGUAAAGUUGUAUUUAAACUGUAAGAAUAUUGGCAGGUUUUUAAAUUAUCUUUGGAGGUUGAGUAGUAAUUGAGAGCCCUCAUUAACAACUUUUACUGUAGGCGCAUGUAUGAUCGUUUAUUUUAUUCUUAAGGAUUGUAAUUUUAGAUUAACUAUUUUCUGUAAAAAUAGAUAAAUACUUGGUAUAUGUAAAAGAUUUAAUUUGACCUACAAUAUGCUAUCUUGUGGAUACUUUUUUAGUAGAAGGUUGAAAAUGUAAAAGACAGUAAGUUUUUUUUAUAUAAAGCUGAAGUUUAUUUAAAAACGGUACAAAUCAUCCAUCAAUUGCCUUCAGGGGAGUAAGUUGUAGUAAAGUAGAGUUAGGGGAACCUGGCUCUAGUAAUUA